rnacentral:misc_RNA from 1 species
GAGAAAUAAGCCCUCAGUGGGCGAUUCUCCACCCUGUGUUUACAUCACGCUGUUGCUUUGGCGGGCCGUAGGGCUGUCAGUCCUCCACCGGCCUGUGCUGGUGUGUGCCUGUCAGAGGAUAUUUUACAUUCUGUUUAUCAUUGUUGUCUGAGCAUUAUAUAAUCGUUA